rnacentral:rRNA from 1 species
GGACGGGCACCACCGCGGGGCUUGGUGGUUAUUUUAUUUCACCCCAUCAAAAACAAACCCGGCCCGGCCAGGGGGAUGGUAGAAAGAUUGAAAGCUCUUUCUUUUUUUGAUGGGGGGGGGGGCAUGCCGGGGCCGUUCCUAGGGGGAGGAGGUCUUGGCUUUCCAAGUCCGAUAAAGAAUCUGGCCUUCUCCUACCACCGCCACCUUCUACUCUUCGGCGGGACUUCUUAUAGUUACCGGGGGUGAUUCAACCGCGCGAAACAAAAAACAAACAAUUCUGUGGUGCCCUAUGACGUGCGGGGCCCCGCGCGUCCUACACUGAGGUGAUCAGCUGGCAUUGACUUCCUGCUCCGCCGGGAGGGGGUGACCCAUUGAACCUUCCUCCUGAUUGGGGUAGGAGAUAGUGGUUAUUCUCCUUGAUCAAGAAUGCAUCAAGAAAGCGCAAGUAAUAGGCUUGCGUAGUUUAUGGUCGUGCGCUUUGUCCGCCCCCGCGCCCCCACUACUACGAAUUGACUAAUG